rnacentral:rRNA from 1 species
AACGAACGCUGGCGGCAUGCCUAACACAUGCAAGUCGAACGAGACCUGCGGGCUUACUGCUGCAUGGGGGCGUAACGCGGGGGAACCUGCCUUUAGAUCUGCAAUGACUUGCGGAAAAGGGUCCGAAUACCGGCUAAAGUCCUCCGACCAAAGUUUGAUCGCCUGUGGGUGGGCCUGGGUUGUAUUAGCUAGUUGGUAGGGUAAAAGCCUCUCAAUGCGUCGUUGGAUAGCUGGUUUGAGAGGAUGAGACGCCACACUGGGGCUAGGGCACGGCCGAGAAUCCUACGGGAGGGAGCAGUGGGUAAUAUAGGACUACGGGGGGUGGCAAGAUGCAGCACGGACGCGUGAGUGAUGAAGGCCUUAGGGUUGUAAAGCUAUUUUACCCGGGAUGGUAAUGACGGUACCGGGAGAAUAAGCACCGGCUAACUUCGUG